rnacentral:rRNA from 1 species
GUGUCAGCAGCCGCGGUAAUACCCGCGGCCCGAGUGGUGCUCAUUAUUAUUGAGUCUAAAACGUCCGUAGCCGGUCGGGUAGAUUCCUGGGUAAAUCGAAUCGCUCAACGAUUCGAAUUCCGGGGAGACCGCCUGACUAGGGACCGGGAGAGGCGCGAGGUACUCCUGGGGUAGGGGUAAAAUCCUGUAAUCCUGGGAGGACCACCAGUGGCGAAGGCGUCGCGCUAGAACGGAUCCGACGGUCAGGGACGAAGCCCAGGGGCGCAAACGGGAUUAGAAACCCCGGUAGUCC